GCUAAAAAAAGUCAACUCUCUCUCUCUCUCUCUUUUUUUUCUCUCGUCGUCGUCGGACAAUCUUCAAACGAUCUUCAUUUUGUGAAUUCAUUUCGCGACUUGUUUUGCUCCGGUACAGCGUACUUGAAAGGGGACAAAGAGACCGAGGAACGUUGACGAAUCGGCCGGCAUCGCGCGUAACGGUACGCGAUGACGUACAUCAUCUCUUUUCCUAAAAGGUCGGGAUGCCAAGUACAAGGCCAUCUUGACUAUCCACUCAUCAAAAGAUGACCAUUUCUACGACAUUACUCUUAAGUUCUGUCAUUAUUUAGCUAUCCCUCUAAAUUAUAAUAUAUAACUCGAAGAGAAAACGCAAUGCGCUACGUCAUAUAAAAACAUAAUACGCGUACGGUAUAUAGACGUAGUCUUCAACAUUUGUAACAUGAUUGCGAAGCUGAUGAUCGCGAUGUCCGGUGUCGCGAGAGUUCCUUCACCGUAACCCGUUAAACUUCGCCGUUGAGACAGAGAAAGAAAGAGAGAGAGAGAGAGAGAAAGAGAAAAAGAAGAUUAUCCGGCAGCCAAAUAUAAAAUUAAAAGAGCUCUUUAUACGUAUGUCGCGGGUACGGAAUAUCAGGGUUACAGCUCUCUUCUCUCUCAUGCCGUGGCGCGAGUGCAAGCGCCGAAGCGUUGUUACGGCGUGCAACUGCCUCUCACGUCGUUUUGUUCACUGAACUAGUUCCCUCUCCUCUUACCUCGCCGAUUCAUUCCACAUCACUACCAGGCUCACAAUCUUACCGCCGCCGUCCACUACCACCAUCACUACUAUCACUACCACUACUACGUCCUCAACGACAGCGCGAUGCCCACAGCAACGUCAUGGAGAUCACCAUCGGACCGGGAGACAGAAUGAGAGAGUGGAAGCGGUUUCGAGAGAGAAAGAGGGAGAUGGCGAGCGUUUAAGUGAGGAUUCCGUCGAAUCACCAUGGAAUUUCGAGCGGGAAAAGAAACCUCGUGGAAAUUCCACUGUGGAGAGACGCGGCACACGGCUCUCUCAGCCAAACGAAGAGGAGAAAGCCGAAGACAAAAAGGAGAGAGGGAGAGAGAGAGAGAAGGAGUAAGCAAGCGCAACGGGGGGAUGCGGGAGAGAAGCGAGAGAUGCAACGGCGCGCAGGCCUCCGAGUACCGGGGGUUCUACGGAGGAACAACACGCGGACCAGACCGCAUACCUACACGACGCGUAAUGAGAACAUAGCAGCAUCGUUCGGCCUGCUAUCUGCUAUCAAACGGAUACUCGCAGCCGCGGAUGAAGCGAGCAGCGCGCCCGCCCCGGAGCACGAGGGGCUCCCCCAAAUUUAUCUUGCACGCGUCUUGCUCCGCUCUGAAAAAGUUUCCUCCUUUCUCUCGCUCCCUCCCUCCCCCCCCCGCUUCCCCCUCUCUUUCGCGAUAUUUCAUUGCGAUCAUCGUAAUUGAGAUCUUCCUGUGGCUUUUCAGCUAUUCGUUCGGUUAACGCCGUAUAGCGGAUCGUGCAUCGCGAUCGAUCGUGCCCUUCGAUUGCCGUCGAGUCUUAAUCAUCAUUCCUGACGAUGAUUCUCGCUACGAAGAGAGCUCGAUACGAAAACAGAAACCAGCCGCUGCCCAUUUUAUUCUUGUCCGCCACACACUUUGAUUAAUGAUGCAGUUGAACGAUAAAAAAAAAAAAACGCGGAAAGGAGAAUAAUCAUUUCUCGGCGCUCUUUCGAUGCCAAAUACGAUUCCAAAAUGCUCGACGUCACGUCACAAUUUUGAGAAAUGUGAUUAAAGAUGCAAAAAAAAUUGCAGCUAUUUUAAUGUAUUUUAUAACGAUAUAGAUACGCGGUAUGUAUGAUGUAUUGAAGGAAUUUGCAAUUAAAGUACAUUUCAAAAUGAAUUUGUGUCAAUCUGUUGUGAUGAUUAAUAAGAUAUUUAUAAUUAAAUAAGAGAUCUAAGAACAAUGCCUAAUUAAUGCAAAAUAUAUCAAAACUAAUCUAAUUUUGAUAUUGUUAUAUGACAUUUUGUCGAUUGAUAUGAACUAGGAAAUUCAAAGUCGAUAUCUGAUUUUUUUCAAAUGGGUAAAUGACAUGACAUUUUAUAGCAGAAAAUUAUAUUAAACUUUCUAUUUUAUUAUUUGAAAUUUUGAGCGGUUGACCAGGCUCUCUUCGAUUUACACAAGCUUUUUUUUCAAACGUAUCGUUCCCCGACAAAUCCUAGUAGAUCAUGAAACCAUGUGUGUGCACUUUGUAGCGAUAUCAUCGCUACAUGCCUUAUUUUUCACGCCUACAUCUUCUAUUUUUUCUCUCUUUGUGUUUGUAAAGGAACGUAAUUAAUUCAGCAUCAUACCGCGCGUUUUGUCUCGUCUUUUUAACCCU